ACAGUUCGUGCCAUUAUGUCAUACAAAAGAUUUCAUAAUAACCGGAUUUGCAGCAGUUUGGACAGGAUAAACUUCAAAGAAUUUGUUAAAAGUUUUGAUGGUAGAUGAGAAAACCAUUUUAUAUGUUGUUCUGUUUGAUCAACAGCAAUAUUAACAAUUUAUUCGCUUACGGAUUCUAUGCAGUUAGUGUUUGGAUUGAUUUGACUCUGAGUAAUUGCAGUAUAAAAAAAGUACACUCCUCGAUUUGUUGAAUAUUGGAGAUACUAUCGACGAGUUAGCUAAUUCAGAUGAAUUUAAAUUUACUCCAAAAGAUAUUAGUGAUAUUAAACAGGGAGAAACAGGUGGUGGUAACUCUGGAAAAGCGUUUUUAGAACACCUAAAAAACUUAAAAAUUGUCACUAGAGAAGAAUUUGAAAAGGCUUUAGACUCUAAUAAGGUUCAAUAUAAAGACUUGGAUAGAAGUUACAACUCUACUAACGAAUUAAAGUACGGUUUUAUAAAUGAGAUGAGCAUACGAUUAAGUUGGGAAACGUUGUGGGUAAAUGUGGCGCACGACCUGGAUUUUGAAUCCUCUCUAAUAGAGUGCUUACGAACGAAACAAAAGAGUGAAGGUAUUUACAAUCGUGCAAUAAUUUUACUCCGCAAAAUUGGAGAACAACACCCAAAUUAUUCAGUAGGAAAGUUUAUGAAUCUUAACAAGAAACAUCGAAGAAAUGAUGUCUGCAAACAUAUGGAAUUGAUGAUAAUUGAAUAUUCCAAAAAAUCAAUUAACCAACAGUAACUUCAUUUUCUGAAAUGGUAUAUUAAUAAGCAUUUGUUUUCGUUGUUGGGUUGACUAAAUUAAUAUCUUUUUAUUUUAAUAAAUAAAGAGUUUUGUUUUAAACUGUAGUCAGUGUGAACAUUAGUUUUCAUAACAUAUAUUUUGUUAAGUAUUCAUGAACAGGUACCUACUAAAUUUU